GAUGAACGCUAGCGGCAGGCUUAACACAUGCAAGUCGAGGGGUAACAGGAUUUAGUUUACUAGAUUGCUGACGACCGGCGCACGGGUGAGUAACGCGUAUACAAUUUGCCUUUUACUGAAGAAUAGCCCAGAGAAAUUUGGAUUAAUGCUUCAUAGUAUUAUUUGGUCACCUGACUAAGUAAUUAAAGCUCCGGCGGUAAAAGAUGAGUAUGCGUCCUAUUAGCUAGAUGGUAAGGUAACGGCUUACCAUGGCGACGAUAGGUAGGGGUCCUGAGAGGGAGAUCCCCCACACUGGUACUGAGACACGGACCAGACUCCUACGGGAGGCAGCAGUGAGGAAUAUUGGGCAAUGGAGGCAACUCUGACCCAGCCAUGCCGCGUGCAGGAAGACGGCCCUAUGGGUUGUAAACUGCUUUUAUACAGGAAGAAACUUAUCCACGUGUGGAUAACUGACGGUACUGUAAGAAUAAGGACCGGCUAACUCCGUGCCAGCAGCCGCGGUAAUACGGAGGGUCCAAGCGUUAUCCGGAAUCAUUGGGUUUAAAGGGUCCGUAGGCGGGCAAUUAAGUCAGAGGUGAAAUCCCACAGCUCAACUGUGGAACUGCCUUUGAUACUGGUUGUCUUGAGUUACAGUGA
rnacentral:rRNA from 1 species